UACGUAGGGUGCAAGCGUUGUCUGGAAUUAUUGGGCGUAAAGGGCUCGUAGGCGGUCUGUCGCGUCGGCUGUGAAAACUCGGGGCUCAACCCCGAGCCUGCAGUCGAUACGGGCAGACUAGAGUCCGGCAGGGGAGACUGGAAUUCCUGGUGUAGCGGUGAAAUGCGCAGAUAUCUGGAGGAACACCGGUGGCGAAGGCGGCAUCCUGGACCAACACUGACGCUGAGUGAGCGAAAGCCAGGGGAGCAAACGGG
rnacentral:rRNA from 1 species